GAGUUUGAUCCUGGCUCAGAUUGAACGCUGGCGGCAUGGCUAAAACAUGCAAGUCGAACGAUGAAAGCACCUUCGGGUGUGCAUGAAGUGGCGAAAGGGCGAGGAAUACGUUCCUACGUACCCCAAGGUCAGGGAUAGCCCCGGGAAACUGGGAGUAAUACCUGAUGAUAUCUCCGGAUCAAAGGCUUCGGCCACCUUGGGAGCGGGGAACGCCCUAUCAGGUUGUUGGUGAGGUAACGGCUCACCAAGCCUAAGACGGGUAGCGGGUGUGAGAGCAUGACCCGCCGCAUCGGGACUGAGACACUGCCCGGACUCCUACGGGAGGCUGCAGUAACGAAUAUUCCGCAAUGCGCGAAAGCGUGACGGAGCAAUGCCGCGUGUGGGAUGAAUCUCUUCGGAGUGUAAACCACUGUCAGAGUUUAGGAACUCAAUGACCAGACUCAAAGGAAGGGCCGGCUAACUUCGUGCCAGCAGCCGCGGUAAUACGAAGGGCCCGAGCGUUAAUCGGAAUCACUGGGCUUAAAGCGUGCGUAGGCGGACUUGAAGGCGUCCUGUGAAAUCCCUCGGCUCAACCGAGGAACUGCAGGGCGAACCAUGAGUCUCGAGACAGGUAGAGGUUGUCGGAACGAUAGGUGGAGUGGUGAAAUGCGUUGAUAUCUAUCGGAACGCCAAUGGAGAAGUCAGGCAACUGGGCCUGUUCUGACGCUAAGGCACGAAAGCGUGGGGAGCGAACGGGAUUAGAUACCCCGGUAGUCCACGCCGUAAACGAUGCGUACUAGGUUGGGGAAGCUCUGACGCUGUUCCCGGCUGAAGCAAAAGUAUUAAGUACGCCGCCUGGGGAG
rnacentral:rRNA from 1 species